ACUCAGGUGUUGUUGGGUAGGGGAGCGUUCUGUAAGCCUGUGAAGGUGGCCUGUGAGGGUUGCUGGAGGUAUCAGAAGUGCGAAUGCUGACAUAAGUAACGAUAAAGCGGGUGAAAAGCCCGCUCGCCGGAAGACCAAGGGUUCCUGUCCAACGUUAAUCGGGGCAGGGUGAGUCGACCCCUAAGGCGAGGCCGAAAGGCGUAGUCGAUGGGAAACGGGUUAAUAUUCCCGUACUUGGUGUUACUGCGAAGGGGGGACGGAGAAGGCUAUGUUGGCCGGGCGACGGUUGUCCCGGUUUAAGCGUGUAGGCUGGUUUUCCAGGCAAAUCCGGAAAAUCAAGGCUGAGGCGUGAUGACGAGGCACUACGGUGCUGAAGCAACAAAUGCCCUGCUUCCAGGAAAAGCCUCUAAGCAUCAGGUAACAUCAAAUCGUACCCCAAACCGACACAGGUGGUCAGGUAGAGAAUACCAAGGCGCUUGAGAGAACUCGGGUGAAGGAACUAGGCAAAAUGGUGCCGUAACUUCGGGAGAAGGCACGCUGACACGUAGGUGAAGUGAUUUACUCACGGAGCUGAAGUCAGUCGAAGAUACCAGCUGGCUGCAACUGUUUAUUAAAAACACAGCACUGUGCAAACACGAAAGUGGACGUAUACGGUGUGACGCCUGCCCGGUGCCGGAAGGUUAAUUGAUGGGGUCAGCGCAAGCGAAGCUCCUGAUCGAAGCCCCGGUAAACGGCGGCCGUAACUAUAACGGUCCUAAGGUAGCGAAAUUCCUUGUCGGGUAAGUUCCGACCUGCACGAAUGGCGUAAUGAUGGCCAGGCUGUCUCCACCCGAGACUCAGUGAAAUUGAACUCGCUGUGAAGAUGCAGUGUACCCGCGGCAAGACGGAAAGACCCCGUGAACCUUUACUAUAGCUUGACACUGAACAUUGAGCCUUGAUGUGUAGGAUAGGUGGGAGGCUUUGAAGUGUGGACGCCAGUCUGCAUGGAGCCGACCUUGAAAUACCACCCUUUAAUGUUUGAUGUUCUAACGUGGACCCGUAAUCCGGGUUGCGGACAGUGUCUGGUGGGUAGUUUGACUGGGGCGGUCUCCUCCUAAAGAGUAACGGAGGAGCACGAAGGUUGGCUAAUCCUGGUCGGACAUCAGGAGGUUAGUGCAAUGGCAUAAGCCAGCUUGACUGCGAGCGUGACGGCGCGAGCAGGUGCGAAAGCAGGUCAUAGUGAUCCGGUGGUUCUGAAUGGAAGGGCCAUCGCUCAACGGAUAAAAGGUACUCCGGGGAUAACAGGCUGAUACCGCCCAAGAGUUCAUAUCGACGGCGGUGUUUGGCACCUCGAUGUCGGCUCAUCACAUCCUGGGGCUGAAGUAGGUCCCAAGGGUAUGGCUGUUCGCCAUUUAAAGUGGUACGCGAGCUGGGUUUAGAACGUCGUGAGACAGUUCGGUCCCUAUCUGCCGUGGGCGCUGGAGAACUGAGGGGGGCUGCUCCUAGUACGAGAGGACCGGAGUGGACGCAUCACUGGUGUUCGGGUUGUCAUGCCAAUGGCACUGCCCGGUAGCUAAAUGCGGAAGAGAUAAGUGCUGAAAGCAUCUAAGCACGAAACUUGCCCCGA
rnacentral:rRNA from 1 species